UAACAUUUUUAACAGUUACCUUAGAAACUCUAAAAUUCUCCAGCUAAUAGAAAAAGUUUUAAGAACGUUGCUUGAAUGUCCCUAACCUUUUCAAAAACAUUCCACCAACAUUGAAAGUGUCCAGUUUUUUAUGUUUUAAAGAGCACCAAUUAUGCAAAUAAAUUAGCACGUUAGCACGUUAUUGUAAUAUCCCAUAGUACAUACAUGUUAUUAAAACUUGAACUAAUGCAUUGUGAGUCUUAUAAAUUGCUUACAUACCUCACCGAUUUCUGCCUGUCUGGAAAACGCUCGGAUUUAGUUCCUGUCUCCGCCUCCCAAAAUGUCUAGUGUACUCGGAUUGGUCAGAUGACUACUCAACUGUUAUUGGUCAACUGGGUUCGGCGUGUGUUUGAAAGGUUACGCCCCUGACUACGCGUGGGUUUUCCGGUUCUGACUGAGAGUCACAGGCAACGUAAACAAGCAUUAUAUUUCUCUAUAAACGAUGGUGUCUGUACUGCCUUACCACUUCGAGCUCGAUCCAGAGAGUUCAGAAGGCCGUUACGAUAUAAACGAUCUCCGUCAAUGAACGCGAUUGGAUUUAACUUUUUUAGGUGUCCUUAGCUCUGCCAGAAUGCUAAACGAAGACGAAAAUGUGUUGCAAAGACAUCCAAAAGGUAAUUAUAACGUACUACAUUACUUUGCAAACUAUAUGGAAACACCAAAUGUAACACAUAGAAAGUAUUUGUUGAAAUGAUUAUAAAACUAUUUCACUUGUUAACAUUAUUUUACUAUAGUAAACUUUAUUAUAAAAGACUGCUUGCAUACUAUUUUACUGUGCAAACUAUAUGGAAACACCAAAUGUAGCACAAAGAAAAUAUUAAUUGAAAUGAAUGUUCUACAUUAUUUCACUAUGGUAAACUUUAUUAUGAAAGACUGCUUACUUAUAAGUGCUAUGUUAUUACUUAUUAGGUUUUAAGGAGAAUGCAACAGGUUCCAGGGCCUCUUACCUGCGUGAUUCAUCAUCCAGGUUUUGCACAAAUUGUCUAAAUCCCUACACACAGAACAUUUAUUGUACCGACUAUAAGCCUUUGAGGUGCAGGACUAGAAUAUGCUUGGAGCUUCCUGAUCAGAUCGGUCACAAUUUUGGCUUUCGACGACCCCUGCACUGAAGAUGGCAUGCAAUCACGUCCUCCUUUGAAGGUCUCUCAAACUGUGAUGCCAGGUCCAUUGGAAUCGGGGUUUCCUUCAGCUUAUCUUCAAAUACCUCAUCAAACACAAGCCUGAUCACAUCAUCCACAUAAAUGUACAAAUAUUGCAAUCAAUAAAUCUUUUGUUUUGAUCAUUUAUUUCCCUGCUUCAUACAUUAAGUUUUUAAUUAUGAAUGUAUUUGAAAUAAAACAUUACUGCUUACGGUAUGUCACUUGUGUGUUUUGGGAACAUAGCCUUGUACUUUCCCUCUCCUGCUUUUGUUACGGCUUGGUGACAUUGUAAUGGAUGGCUGCAAGGUACAACAUGUAAAAAUAUAAACAAGCAAUAAAUUUAUUGUAAAAGUAAAUACUACUUUAUUUAACACAGUUACUAAAAUACUUAAAUACCUGCACAGCAUUCCAAUAAAUGACAAUAACAUUUUUUUGCUGCAAAUCUGAAAUCUCAGGCUACGGACGGCAAAGGCAUCCACUGAUGAUGGUGAUGGAAACAUUGUGAAACGAUGCUACUGCCUGGGUUCCUAUUAUUAUGCAGAGAAAAAAAAAACUUUGUCAUCAUCAGUUAUACAUCUAAGACUGGUAGUGGUAUCACUAGCUAAAUACAUCAUAUGUGUUACAUACCUUUGCUCCUCAUAUGCCAGUCUGACUCCUUGUACUGUGUGUAAUGAUGUUGCAUGUUUGCAUACAGUGUAGAAGGAUGUGUCCAGUUGUGAAUCUAGAAUAUAGACAAAUAAAACAAACAUGUAUUCAGUCAAAAAGACCUAUUAUAACAAUAGAGUACAACGACUAUAAAUCGUUAGACUAUUCAUUAAAACGUUAAUGUAUUACAUAUUACAUGGCCCAACAUUAGCAACACACAUUACGUGUUUACUUCGUUUCAAAAUCUAAGAAAGCUUUAAGUAAAUACAACAGUAAAAUACAUAUAACUUUAAACAAAUCAUCUGUACUUAAGAGUUUCUUGAGUUUGAUCAUGAGAACAAAUUUUACCGGUAACAGUUUAGCUGGUAACUUAGCAAGUUUGUAAACAUGUCUAAACCAACAUCGAUAAAAAAAACGAUAUUCUGCAUAAUUCAACAUACACGUGUGUAAAUAUGGUACAUUGUUUAUGAAAUACAGUAUUACAACACAAAACAAUUAGCUUGCAAGCUUAGCUCUACACGCACAUUAUGUUAAUCUCCGGUUACCGGUUACAAAACGUACAGUAAAAGGCAAAUAAUAAACGUGAAUACUUACAGCCUGUGAUCCAGAAGUGCACAGUAAUCCAACUUUCAGGAGGAGACGUCGCGCAAAUCCAGCUUCGGUUCAUGAGAAGCAGUUAUUGUGAAAACUACGUGAACAACUUCUGACUGGAUUUUUCCGGAACCGUAUUAAACAUGAUGUCCUCUGUGGAAGUCCAUAAAGUGCUAUUUUGCCCUCGCAUCUAAAGAGACAGCGUCUACUCAAGAGAUUUAAUCGCUUAAACGAUGAAACAAGAGUUUGCAAACAGAGUCAAAGCAGGGACUCCCAACCUCCGCCAUUUUAGCUCUCUUCUGACUCCGCGCUCCCCACCCCCGUCUUUGAGGGCGUACCCAAGCAAAGCAGAGAGGGCUGAACUAUGAUAAUGUUGGUCUUGUCUACGUCACUAAUCCCAGGAAGUAAACUGUUGCCUACAAUCCGAGUGUUUUUUGUAGUCCUCGAACGUUAGAGACGAUAACUCGCGUCAUCGUUUUCUUUGAGGUAUGUACUUUUUGAAUAUUGUUAGCAUGUACUAAUACACACUCACACAAAAGGAUGUUUAAAAAUGUGUAUCUCAUAAUAGGUGCUCUUUAAGAAUGGUUUUUGGUUGUCUGAAUGUUACAUUUGUGAUGAGGCGUGUUAGUGACACCGCUCUCCUCCACUAGGAAUGAUGGCUCAGACACUUCGGUACCUUAGUACAAGGGUGUUUUAUUUUCCAAAAAUCCCCAAAAAUUAUUUGCAAAAACAAACAAAACAAAACAAAAGAUUAUAUUAAAGAAGAUACAUAAAGCUAUUUACACAGCACAAUGGCUGCCACUUUCCUUCUACUCAGAGGAAAAAACUGGCAUAACUCUUUACUGCUCCUCAGUAGCAUACUAUCUCCAACUCUCCCCAGUAUGAGUGAGAGACACCCUUAUAAUGACAAGACUCCGCCCACUUGGAACCAACUAAAAAGACAAACAGACAAUGACUCACCCACACCAAACAUACAGAUACAACAGCCCAUUGGCAGCGGAAUGCGCAGGCGCCACGUAGGACGCCUCCAUUUAAGGACCCCUAAGAGUCGCAGAUCGCGUUUUGUCCCUUGUGCUUGCCAUACCCAGGAAGCGCUGCACCCGGAGGGUAUGACGAACACUACCAACAUAAACAGACACCUCUUAACAAUGAUUCAGAUAAGUAAAUAAAGACAUUCGUUUUAACUCAUCUGGUGUGUGCAUUUUCCUAAUAAAAAUCUGCCACGCGAAUUCUAUGUAUAACCAUGGACAUGUGGGUGUGUAUGAGAACCAAGAUAAUUAGCAACCCCCGAGCGCAGCUAACACUGAAUGCAUUUUGAAACUGGAUAUAUAUCUACAUAUGUCGGUGUCAAUAAUAGUGUUGUCCUAGUCCGUGACAGAGCUCUCUGUCACACAUUCUAACAUUUUCAAACAUGACAAAAGCCUCUUUUCGCUCUCAUUCACAAAACUAGCAUUAAACAUUAAGGGGUGGUUUCCUGGACAGAAAUUAGCUUAAGCCAGGACUAGGCCUAAAUUUAAUUAGGAAAUAUAACUAUUUUUAACAAACAUGCCUUACUUAAAACAUUACCGGCGUGCAUUUUGAGGAAAAAAACAAGGGGCACUGAUGUAUUUUAAGAUAUGUCAGUGCAAGUUGUUUUCAGUUUGGACGGCUCCUAAAUUUAUUUACUAGUCUAAUCCCUGUACGGGAAAUCGCCCCUAAAGGGGUCAUAGCGUGAAAAUCAGACUUUUUCCAUGUUUGGGUGCUAUAAUUGGGUCCCCAGUGCUUCUAUCAACCAAGAAAACGUAAAAAAUAGAUCAACCCAGUAACUUUGUUUGGGUAAGCCAUUUUCUGCAUGUAUUUGAAAAAAUAGGUGGUUCAGAUUUCGCCUGUUUUGUGAGGUAGUUAGCCAAGGUGAAUUACAAUAAUACCGCCCCCUUUAUCGAGAUGGUUCUCACUGCGGAACACAACAU